ACUGCAAUUGUUUCUUCAUUUCUCACUCAAUUUUCUGCACCUGUAGGUAGCUAAGUCUUACUAUAUUCGAGUCAAAUAGGCCAAGUAAGUCAGAUGGACUAGUCGGAUCAAUGGUCCAAGCAAGCAAGAUUGGACCAGUGUUAACCGAACAAAUUGGCAAUCUGAAUCCACAUUGCUACCCACUUGACAAAUAUGACUAACCACCAAAUGCGUCGAAGACGACUAAUCAUCAACCAUUUAGUCACCAAUACCACUCGAACUAUUGAUCAAGCACAAAAACUAAACAUAACACAUCUUGUCGAGAAGGUAUAUGUCUUUAUUAAAGUUUUAGCCUUAGGUGUUUGUCUAGCAUGCAAGUCCUAAAUAGACAAUAACAAGGAAUCAAUAUUGUGGACAGACAGGUAUCAAUGUCUCUCACUAAAGGGAAGGCAACUCUCAAAGUCUAUGCACAUAAGAAAUGUAUUUUACCUUUUGGAUCUGAGUAAGUUUUUCUCUAUGAUUUCGACCUUAUCCUGUUUUAUCAUUGAACAACUUAUGCAUGGUACAAUUAUUAUGAUUUCGAUAUCUGAGUUGAUAUGCUUUUGGAAGGCAGAUUAUGAGCAGCUGUCUGCCCCACUGGAAACGCUUGUUGCAGGCAUUUACUAAGAUGGCAAGGAGUAAACAACAGAGACUCAUGUCGUUUGAUGCUUGUCUUCUUCAGGCUUUGAUGGCAAAGUGUCGUAGGAAUGUCGAUGCAAAGAUGCUGAUCAUCGAGAACAAUCCUGAAGCUGUGUAUGUUAGAGUUGAGGCUCACCUUCAUCAGCAGUUGGGGUGAGAGGUAUCAAUGUCUCUCACUAAAAGAGAAGGCAACUCUCAAAGUCUAUGCACAUAAGAAAUGUAUUUUACCUUUUGGAUCUGAGUAAGUUUUUCUCUAUGAUCUCGACCUUAUCAUGUUUUAUCAUUGAACAACUUAUGCAUGGUACAAUUAUUAUGAUUUCGAUAUCUGAGUUGAUUAGCUUUUGGAAGGCAGAUUAUGAGCAGCUUCUGCCCCACUGGAAACGCUUGUUGCAGGCAUUUACUAAGAUGGCAAGGAGUAAACAACAGACUCAUGUCGUUUGAUGCUUGUUUUCUUCAGGCUUUGAUGGCAAAGUGUCAUAGGAAUGUCGAUGCAAAGCUGCUGAGAGUUGAGGCUCACCUUCAUCAGCAGUUGGGGUGAGAGGUGAGCUUUUCUGGUCCUUCCUACUUAAUUGAAGCUUGCAUUUCUUCGCAACAACAUAAGAUUCUACUAGUUAACAAUGUCGCAGACAGAAGAAUUGUCGUAAAAAAUCAAAGCUUUAAGUAAUGAUUUUGAUUUAUCAUUUAUAUAUACCUUGAUUCAUUUAGCAUUAGUAGGCCCCGGCGACAGACCUACCUAACCUUAUUUUAUUUUGCAAAAGAUUAUUUUUGAGACUUGAACCCGUGUUCUCAAGGUCAUACGAUAAUAAUUUUACGUUGAAGCUCUUCUUCACUUAAAUACAAUGAUAUAUUAAAAAUUAGAUAUGCCUAACAUAUUUUUAUUAUACUUUGACAUUAAGCUCUUUCAAGCUUAGCUUAAGUGAUAUACUACGUUUUUAUUCACUAAAAUGCUGUGAUUAACUAGUCUAUGAUUUGUAUUUUCAUCAGUGCAGUCAGUCGAGGAGAAAAAGAAGAAAGCUUCUUUAAGAUUAGAUGUCAUAAUCUCGAGUACUAUUUCAACUAGUUAUAUUUCGAGCUCUGCAAGUCUCGGAUAAAGCCUUUUCUCUUAGAGAAGAUGGAUAAUGACGGGAAUAUUUUGACACAUGGUACUAGUUGAAUAGAGAGAUGGGUAUGAGGUUGCGAGAUGGUCGGAUCUGGUUCUCUCACUGACGUAUACAAUAAUGAUGGAGGAGCAUGCGAUAUCUAAGACAUCUGACAUGGAGAUGCACGACUGAUAGUUAUAUGAACCCUAGAGAUGAUAAAUGCAAAUAGCUAUAUAAACCCUAGAGAUGAUCAAUGAAAAGGAUUCAAACUCUCUACAACUCAACCAGAUCCUCUCCAUCUUUUUCAUCCAACCUAUUACCUCAAACAACUGGUCCUCUCAUUGGCGUCUACAAUGAUGAUAGAGGAGUAUGUGAUAUCUAGAACAUCUGAUAUGGAGAUGCACUGUUGAGAGCUAUAGAGAGGACAAGUGCACAGGAUUCAAACUCUCUACGAUUCCACCAUAUCCUCUCCAUCUUCUUCUUCCAACCUAUUACCUCAAAUAAAUCUUAAUUUGAUUGUCAGAGCGAUACCCAACACUCAAAAUGUAGACUUGGUGGCAGAAACAAUAACAACAACGACCGAUAGGAAGGCUCUGUUUUACUACCCUAAAUUCCCUCCCACUGUGCGUUUCCCGUGAACUGAAUGGCCAAAUUAUUGAGCUUCCUUCCUCGGUGCAAAAUCAUCCAUGGCGAAUGAAUUGUUCGCAUGUUUUAUUAUGUGAGGAAUCAAACACACAAGCCAAUGCAACUCCAAAACUACCUUGUACUUGUUCGCUCUUUUCUACCAGUACUCCCUUGCU